rnacentral:rRNA from 1 species
UACGUAGGUGGCAAGCGUUGUCCGGAUUUACUGGGCGUAAAGAGCGCGCAGGCGGUCGUUCAAGUCGCGUGUGAAAGCCCCCGGCUCAACUGGGGAGGGUCACGCGAUACUGAUCGACUCGAAGGCAGGAGAGGGUAGUGGAAUUCCCGGUGUAGUGGUGAAAUACUUAGAUAUGAUGUAGAACACCGAUUGCGAAGGCAGCUCACUAAAUUGUAACUGACGCUGAGGCACGAAAGCGUGGGGAUCAAACAGG